rnacentral:rRNA from 1 species
CAAGUCGAACGGAAUCCAUGGUGUAGCAAUACACCGGAAGAUUUAGUGGCGAACGGGUGAGGAUCACGUGAGAAACGUGCCCCAGACUCUGGGAUAACAAUUGGAAACGAUUGCUAAUACCGGAUGACGUCGGAGAAUCGCAUGAUUCACUGACGAAAGAUAUUUCGGUUUGGGAGCGUCUCGCGGCCUAUCAGCUUGUUGGUGGGGUAAUGGCCUACCAAGGCAACGACGGGUAGCUGGUCUGAGAGGAUGAUCAGCCACACUGGGACUGAGACACGGCCCAGACUCCUACGGGAGGCAGCAGUGGGGAAUCUUGCGCAAUGGGCGAAAGCCUGACGCAGCAACGCCGCGUGCGGGAUGAAGGCCUUCGGGCUGUAAACCGCUUUCAGCAGGAACGAAAAUGACGGUACCUGCAGAAGAAGGAGCGGCCAACUACGUGCCAGCAGCCGCGGUGACACGUAGGCUCCAAGCGUUGUCCGGAUUUAUUGGGCGUAAAGAGCUCGUAGGCGGUUGAGUAAGUCGGGUGUGAAAACUCUGGGCUUAACCCGGAGACGCCAUCCGAUACUGCUCUGACUAGAGUUCAGGAGGGGAGUGGGGAAUUCCUAGUGUAGCGGUGAAAUGCGCAGAUAUUAGGAGGAACACCGGUGGCGAAGGCGCCACUCUGGACUGAAACUGACGCUGAGGAGCGAAAGCAUGGGUAGCAAACAGGAUUAGAUACCCUGGUAGCCCAUGCCGUAAACGGUGGGCACUAGGUGUGGGUUCCAACUAACGGGAUCCGCGCCGUCGCUAACGCAUUAAGUGCCCCGCCUGGGGAGUACGGUCGCAAGACUAAAACUCAAAGGAAUUGACGG